UGGGGUGUAGCUCAGUGUUGGAGUGCUUGCCUAGCAUAUAUGAGGCACUGGGUUUAAUUCUCAGCACUACAU
rnacentral:tRNA from 1 species